rnacentral:rRNA from 1 species
AUACGUAGGGUGCAAGCGUUAAUCGGAAUUACUGGGCGUAAAGCGUGCGCAGGUGGUUUUGUAAGACAGUGGUGAAAUCCCCGGGCUCAACCUGGGAACUGCCAUUGUGACUGCAAGGCUGGAGUGCGGCAGAGGGGGAUGGAAUUCCGCGUGUAGCAGUGAAAUGCGUAGAUAUGCGGAGGAACACCGAUGGCGAAGGCAAUCCCCUGGGCCUGCACUGACGCUCAUGCACGAAAGCGUGGGGAGCAAACAGGAUUAGAUACCCUGGUAGUCCACGCCCUAAACGAUGUCAACUGGUUGUUGGGGAUUGAUUUUCUCAGUAACGAAGCUAACGCGUGAAGUUGACCGCCUGGGGAGUACGGCCGCAAGGUUAAAACUCAAAGGAAUUGACGGGG